UACAGAGGGUGCAAGCGUUUAAUCGGAAUUACUGGGCGUAAAGCGUGCGUAGACGGUCAUGUAAGUCGGGUGUGAAAGCCCCGGGCUCAACCUGGGAAUUGCAUUCGAGACUGCAUGGCUAGGGUGCGGAAGAGGGAAGCGGAAUUUCCGGUGUAGCGGUGAAAUGCGUAGAUAUCGGAAGGAACACCAGUGGCGAAAGCGGCUUCCUGGUCCAGCACCGACGUUCAGGCACGAAAGCGUGGGGAGCAAACAGG
rnacentral:rRNA from 1 species